GAUGAACGCUGGCGGCGUGCCUAAUACAUGCAAGUCGAGCGAACAGACGAGGAGCUUGCUCCUCUGACGUUAGCGGCGGACGGGUGAGUAACACGUGGAUAACCUACCUAUAAGACUGGGAUAACUUCGGGAAACCGGAGCUAAUACCGGAUAAUAUAUUGAACCGCAUGGUUCAAUAGUGAAAGACGGUUUUGCUGUCACUUAUAGAUGGAUCCGCGCCGCAUUAGCUAGUUGGUAAGGUAACGGCUUACCAAGGCAACGAUGCGUAGCCGACCUGAGAGGGUGAUCGGCCACACUGGAACUGAGACACGGUCCAGACUCCUACGGGAGGCAGCAGUAGGGAAUCUUCCGCAAUGGGCGAAAGCCUGACGGAGCAACGCCGCGUGAGUGAUGAAGGUCUUCGGAUCGUAAAGCUCUGUUAUUAGGGAAGAACAAAUGUGUGAGUAACUAUGCACGUCUUGACGGUACCUAAUCAGAAAGCCACGGCUAACUACGUG
rnacentral:rRNA from 1 species